GGUAAAUGCUGCUUUGCCUUCUAUGUGUAUAGCAAGCAACAAGUGAAUACAGCUUACAAGGUGUGAAAUUCCUGGGUGGUACUGUGCCCACCAUGAGAAGAAGUCAAACUCUGCUGGAAAAGAUAUAUAGGUCCCAGGAACACUCCUGUCUCCAUGAGUUGUGCUCAUCCCAGGUGUGAGUUCAUGAAGGCUGGCUAAUGAUGGUAUGGGUCAGCACAAUGAUGACCUCCACAAAGGCAUGGUGAUGUAACUUCAAAGUCCAGAGCACAAGGGACCUGUGUGUGCUCCAGUGGUGCUGUGAUGCAUGUGCCACAUCCUGCCCUGUUUCAAGAGCAAGUGGGAAGGAUCCUGCUCUUAUUCCCAG